UACCCGGACUCCGCACAGCGUACUUUCUGCAUCAUGUCCUGCCUCCUGCACGCUCAACCCAGGCGCCAGCCAUCGCCUGACACAAGCGGAGUAUUGCCAGCAGGUGACGGUGUUGCAGCUCUGUGUGCGAUUUGACGGACAUUCCUCACGGCCGGUCAGAAGCAGCCUGUCUGGAGAGACUUUCUGCUGAUGGAGGGCUGGGAGUGGAGCUACGGGGCCAGGGUUCCAGUGGUUCAGUGGGCCACACGGAGGAGGAAGUGGGUGGAGCAAACUCAGGCCAGUUCUGCUGUGGUUCCACCCCUCGCCCAGACGUCAUCUCGC